rnacentral:rRNA from 1 species
CCUACGGGGGGCUGCAGUGGGGAAUAUUGGACAAUGGGGGCAACCCUGAUCCAGCCAUGCCGCGUGUGUGAAGAAGGCCCUCGGGUUGUAAAGCACUUUCAGUGAGGAAGAACGCCUGGUGGUUAAUACCCAUCAGGAAAGACAUCACUCACAGAAGAAGCACCGGCUAACUCCGUGCCAGCAGCCGCGGUAAUACGGAGGGUGCGAGCGUUAAUCGGAAUUACUGGGCGUAAAGCGCGCGUAGGUGGCUUGAUAAGCCGGUUGUGAAAGCCCCGGGCUCAACCUGGGAACGGCAUCCGGAACUGUCAAGCUAGAGUGCAGGAGAGGAAGGUAGAAUUCCCGGUGUAGCGGUGAAAUGCGUAGAGAUCGGGAGGAAUACCAGUGGCGAAGGCGGCCUUCUGGACUGACACUGACACUGAGGUGCGAAAGCGUGGGUAGCAAACAGGAUUAGACACCCCGGUAGUC